UGGGGAAUAUUGCACAAUGGGCGCAAGCCUGAUGCAGCCAUGCCGCGUGUAUGAAGAAGGCCUUCGGGUUGUAAAGUACUUUCAGCGGGGAGGAAGGUGUUGAGGUUAAUAACCUCAGCAAUUGACGUUACCCGCAGAAGAAGCACCGGCUAACUCCGUGCCAGCAGCCGCGGUAAUACGGAGGGUGCAAGCGUUAAUCGGAAUUACUGGGCGUAAAGCGCACGCAGGCGGUCUGUCAAGUCGGAUGUGAAAUCCCCGGGCUCAACCUGGGAACUGCAUUCGAAACUGGCAGGCUAGAGUCGUGUAGAGGGGGGUAGAAUUCCAGGUGUAGCGGUGAAAUGCGUAGAGAUCUGGAGGAAUACCGGUGGCGAAGGCGGCCC
rnacentral:rRNA from 1 species